UAAGAAAUAGUAUAAACGGAAGUACAGAGAAUUUUGAUUUCUCUAGAGCAAGUCCAAACCCUGCUUUCUUAC
rnacentral:tRNA from 1 species